rnacentral:rRNA from 1 species
UAUAAGUUAAGAAAGAGUAUAGAGUGGAUGCCUUGACACCAAACUCCGAUGAAGGACGCAGCUAGCUGCGAUAAGCUUCGGUGAGCCGCUAAGCAGGCUUUGACCCGGAGGUUUCCGAAUGGGGUAACCCCUUUAGAGUCAUGUCUAGAGACCCUCCCGUUUUGCGGGAGAGGAGGACACCUGGAGAACUGAAACAUCUUAGUACCCAGGGAAAAGAAAUCAAAUAGAGAUUCCCGUAGUAGUGGCGAGCGAACCGGGAAUAGCCCAAACCGUGUAUUUCGAUACGCGGGGUUGUAGGAAUCCAAUAUCCUUGUUUAUCUUGUUAGCCAAAGGCUCCUGGAAAGGACCGCCACAGCGUGUAACAGCCACGUAGGCGAAAACAAGUAAACGAGGUAGGAGUUUCCUGAGUAAGGUCGGACACGUGUAAUCCGGCCCGAAUCUGGGAGGACCACCUUCCAAGGCUAAAUAGGUUUGGUGAUCGAUAGUGAACAAGUACCGUGAGGGAAAGGUGAAAAGUAUCCCUGUUAGGGAGAUGAAAUAGUAUCUGAAACUCUAUACUUACAAGGAAUCGGAGCCUCGCUUUAUGCGGGGUGACGGUGUACCUUUUGUAGAAUGGGCCAACGAGUUAGCUGUAUGGCGCAGGUUAAGGGAGUUAUACCCGAAGCCAAAGUGAAAGCGAGGAUUAAUAGUCCGACCUAUAUGUGUCAUGCACUAGACCCGAAGCCGAGUGAGCUAUCCAUGGUCAGGAUGAAUCUAUCGUAAUUGAUGGAGGAGGUCCGAACCCACCAUUAUUGCAAAAAUGGGGGAUGAACUGUGGAUAGUGGAGAAAUUCCUAUCGAACUCGGCGAUAGCUGGUUCUCUCCGAGAUAGCUUUAGGGCUAGCCUUGUGUUAAUAGCACGGGGGGUAGAGCUCUGUUUAGGCUAGGGGACGAAAUAAGUCUACCAAACCUAGAUAAACUUCGAAUACCCGUGUGACUUUCACAGGAGUCAGACAGUGACAGCUAAGUGCCAUUGUCACGAGGGGAACAGCCCAGAUUAUCAUCUAAGGUCCCUAAUAAAGCUUAAGUGGAAAAGGAUGUAGAAUCACGUAUACAACCAGGAGGUUGGCUUAGAAGCAGCCAUUCCUUUAAAGAGUGCGUAACAGCUCACUGGUCUAUGUGUUUCUGCGCCGAAAAUUCAACGGGGCUCAAAGCUUUAACCGAAGAUAUAAAUGGUUCCGCUUCGGCGGAAUCGUGGUAGGAGAGCGUUCCUGACGCUGUGAAGCUAAACCGCGAGGUUUAGUGGAGUGUUAGGAAGUGAAAAUGUUGGCAUAAGUAACGAUAAUUCGAUGAAAAAUCGAAUCACUGAUUGUUCAAGGUUUCCCAAGCAACGUUAAUCGACUUGGGGUUAGUCGGGCCUAAGGCGAGGCUGAAAAGCGUAGCCGAUGGACAACAGGUUAAUAUUCCUGUACAACUUGUUUUUCGCCCAAGCAAAACCGGACCAAUAUGUUUUCCGAUUUCGGGGACUUCGGUUCCUGAAAAAGGGCUACAUAACGGAAAAGUGGCGCUAGCUCAGGAGUGACCUGGAAGGAUAGUUGGAGCGUGUUAAUGAAUUCACGUGCAAGCUGUUAGCUUAUGCUCUUAUAGGCAAAUCCGUAAGAGUUCGCGAGCAGUUACGCAAAAUGCUUUGGGUUUUCCCGGGGUGAUUCCAAUGACUUCAUCCAGCAAGAAAAACUUCGGUAGCGAGAAAAACAGGUUUCCGUACCGCAAACCAACGCCGGUGAACAGGUAGAGUAUACCAAGGUGUUCGAGCGACCCACGCUUAAGGAACUCGGCAAAAAAGCAGGUGUAACUUCGGGAUAAACCUUGCCAAUGAAUAUGUAUUUAUAUGUAUUUGUUGGCCGCAGCGAAAGAUCUCAUGCAACUGUUUACCAAAAACACAGGUCUCUGCAAACUCGUAUAGAGUAUGUAUAGGGGCUGACGCCUGCCCAGUGCCAGAAGGUCACGAGGAUCCCUUCACGGGGAGAAUCUAAGCCCUGGUGAACGGCGGCCGUAACUAUAACGGUCCUAAGGUAGCGAAAUUCCUUGUCGGGUGAGUUCCGACCCGCACGAAUGGCGUAAUGAUAUGAGAACUGUCUCAAGCGUGGACUCGGUGAAAUUGCAAAAACGGUAAAAAUGCCGUUUAAUUGCGGAAAGACGAAAAGACCCUGUGCAGCUUUACUAUAACUUGACAUUGUAUCGAGAUAUUUCUUGUGCAGGAUAGGUGGGAGACUUUGAAGCCUCGGCGUUAGCCGGGGUGGAGUCAUCCUUGAGAUACCACCCUUGAAAUAUUUUGGUUCUAACUUUGUCCAGUCAUCCUGGCAUAGGACAGUGUUUGGUGGGUAGUUUAUCUGGGGCGGAUGCCUCCUAAAGAGUAACGGAGGCGCGCAAUGGUUCCCUAGCGCUGGAUGGAAAUCAGCGUGAUAGUGUAUUCGCAGAAGGGAGCUUAACUGCAAGACCAACAAGUCGAGCAGGUGCGAAAGCAGGUGAAAGUGAUCCGGUAUUUACACGUGGGUGUGAUACCGCUCAACGGAUAAAAGUUACGCCGGGGAUAACAGGCUUAUUGAUUCCAAGAGUUCACAUCGACGAAUCAGUUUGGCACCUCGAUGUCGGCUCGUCGCAUCCUGGGGCUGGAGAAGGUCCCAAGGGUUUGGCUGUUCGCCAAUUAAAGCGGUACGCGAGCUGGGUUCAGAACGUCGUGAGA